rnacentral:rRNA from 1 species
AUUUAAUUGAUGACUUGUAUGAAGGAUUGGAUGAGAUAUAAACUGUCUCUUGAUUAAGUAUAGAAUUUAAUUUUUUAAUUAAAAAGUUAAAAUAAUUUAAAAAGACGAGAAGACCCUAUAGAGUUUUAUAAAUAAAUUAAUUAAGAUUAUUUAUUAAAUUAAAAUUAAAAUUUAAAUGUUUAUUAUAUUGGGGUGAUAGAAAAAUAUAGUUAACUUUUUUUAUAAAAAUAACAUAUAUAAGUGAUUAAAUGAUCCAAUAUUAUUGAUUAUAAGAAAAAAUUACCUUAGGGAUAACAGCGUAAUUUUUUUUUUUAGUUCAUAUAAGAAAAAGAGUUUGCGACCUCGAUGUUGGAUUAAGAUAAAAUUUAAAUGCAGAAG